CCUAAUAAGUUCCUGUAAAUGAAAGGGAAAUAAGAUGUCUACUGCUGGGCAUUGCAGCACACAGCAGCAUAUGGAGGUGACAGUAGAGUGACAGGUCCAUAACUGCUAAGGUCUCAUCAAGUCUUCUUUAAAAUACAGAUCUCUUCAGAUAUGCUGACUCUUGAAUGUGUGGUAUAUACAGAAAAAAAAAAAAGCUUCUCCAGUGUUGUUUCCUGCAAAGACCAUUCUUAAGAGCUCGUUGGACAGCGCAGGGCUCUUGAAGUGAUAGCUAAUUGGUGAAAGAAAGACCCUGAUUGUCUUGAGGGAGCUGGAAAGUGCUGCGUGUGCUGCUGAAAGGGACUAGGGAGAAGGUGCCUGGUUUCGCUGAGCAGCUGCUGCUGGAGAUGUUUGGAGAUUACAUCAGCAUUGGAAAAAAGGGGCCAAAAAAAAAAAAAAAAGUCCAACUUCACAGAGACGGAGUUUAUGGAGUUUUUUUUCCCCUUUCCAAAGGUCUUCUGACAAUACUGUCAUUGUCAAUAUAAGAGUUGUUAAUUCUUUAUGAAUAGCACAUGGGGCCUCUUGACUAAAUAGUACGUUACAUGUCCCAAAUCUGUCAGCUGGACUCUUCUCUCACAUGCUAGUGAGAUCACUUUGAUUGGAAUGUUACAGGAAUUGCUGGGCUGGCCGUGCAGAACUGAAUGCUGCAUUAUAUAAUUAGAUCUCCCAGAGUAUUUUUUUCGCAUUACCUCAUUAUUCUAGCUUAAAUAUGGAAUCAGCCCUUUUGAUGAUUUUACUAGUUGUAAUUAUAUUAAUACGAUUCAUUUUGUGGUCCUGUCUUAGUACUUAUAUAGAUUAUAAACUGUCCCGAAGGUUUCCCGAUACGAGAAAAGACAACUAAGAGACUUCAAAAGGCUUGUUCAGAUUUGAAUUGACAAUGGGGAGAACUGGGAUAAGGUAAAUGGAGCUGGAGCAGAUUUUACCUUGGGAUCUGAUGAGAGAGAAAUGACCCGUUGAGACUGCAGCUGAGUGAAGAUUCUUCAGAAAGCCUCAUGCUGACAGAGAGGGGGGGGAAAAAAGGACAACUGAUUGAGUCAAAUGACUUCCUGUCAAACUCGGGCAUGAAUUUGUUGUCGGGAACAGACUUUUGGACUUUUGCCAAUUAAAUGAUCGGGACAAGCUGGAAGGAAUCCUAUUGCUGGGCAGCCCAAGGCUGCCAGUGGCCCGGUCUUGAUAGGUGAAACGCGAUGGUGUGCUGCCUGCUGGACUAACUGCUGAUCUGGACAUUAAGAUGUUGGCUGCUCAGUUGUAGGCAACAACUGAUGGUGCCUGGAUGAAGCUGAAGAUCACUAGCCCAGUUCAGUAUCCACAUGCCACACUAUGGCACGGGAGUGGAUUUUCACCUGAUUGGCUGGUUUGUUACCAAAUUCCUCAUGGUUCUUCCCUGUCAGUCGGAUCUGAAAGUGACUGAAUGUUUUAAAUUGACUAUAACCUGCUGAAUAUUCACAUUUCUUAGCAGGUGAUAUAUCUGAGGACCAGGACGAGCUGGAUACCACUGGAAUAGUCUGUUUCAUGAAAAACAGAUUUGUGCCGCGGGGAUGAUCUGGUGGACUCUAGCUGUGCUUCAGCAGCAAUGAGGGGUGGGGGCACACGACAGCAUGGUAUGCAGUGAGUUUACUCCAAAGCCCUGCGAGAUACCUUCACUUCUAGCCUUUUAAUAAGGAGCUUACUAGAAUACCGAAGGAUUUGACUACUUGCCGAAGGCCAUAGUGACUUGGGAAUUUUUGGUUAACUCAUCUUGCAAAAUUAAAUAAUUUCUUCCAAGUGGACUGUCUGCUUUCAAGUUGAUGUUUCACUAAGUCAAACAUCCAAAAAUCUUACUGCAUAUACAACUCAACAUCUACUUUUCAGAACUGAAUCUUCCUACGGUAAAAGUAGGAAAAUCAUAUUGCCUUGCCUGAGAAAAUGCAGUGUCCUUUUCGGGCUGAUAAUUUUCUAUGUCACGUAAGAGUGAACGUUGCCACUUCAUAAACUGCCUUGUCUAUCUCUUGGUAGCUCACAUGAUGAUAUCAGAGUUCAACCUAGGUAAAAACCCACAGCGUUCCCAUAAAGAGUUUCUGUCCCAUUCAUGGCUCGCACACUCCUACAGACUUGUCUCAUUAGUAACUGUUAAUCAGCCCUUAUCACUUUGUCUUUUGAAGCCUCCUAAAAUUCAGGCACGAGAGCUGGUAUGUGUUCAUGCUGUGGAACAGGGUAAAUGUCAGGUCAAUUGAUUUCAA